UAGCUUACUGCAGCAUGUAAGAAAACAAAGAAACAAUGGAAGCCCCAACCAAUGAUCCAAGAACAGGCAAGGUUGCGGCAGCUACGCUGGAAUCCGGUCCUGAUGCUGGGGUGGAACCAGGAGAGAAGCUAGGACUAGAACCACCGGCGGAAGGGGCAGGAGAUGGUGCACCAGCGGCCAUGACGGCGCUCAUUGAGGCAGCGGCAACAAUGAUGGCGGUGGAGAUCUUCUUCAUGUCCAUGGUGUUAUAAAAAAUGGGAUUAUUAAACGCUCCGGAAAUGAAUGAGACCUGCGUUUAAUUACUAGAGAAUGGGGAUCCGCCGGUGAUUGUUAUUAUUUGCUCUGUUAUUGCAGGUCUGAAGAAGAAUGAUGUUGGGGAGGAUCAUUUAUGGUGAAAAUUCAUGGCUAUUUUUAGUGACGAAAUUUAAAAAAAAAAAAAAAGAAAUACGUGUUUGGUUUUCGCAUGGUUUGCGGGAUAGACAUGCAAAAUUUUGAAUUUUCUUUAACGAUUUUGACUGGAUUUUUAGGCUAGGGAAUUUAAAACUAUUUUUUAAGAGAGAAGAGUACUAAAUUAGAGAACAAUAAUUAAAUAAUAUCAUCUUGUAAAUUAUUCUGAAUGGAAGUAUCAAUUUGUUGGGGAGAAGAAGCAAAUUCAUGGAGACUCAAUUAAUGGUCAAACAUCAUGCCAACUAAGGCAUUAGUCGCUCCAUUAGAUUCCUUAUAAAUAUGCUCGAUUCAAACAUCUAUGUUCGAGCGUAAAGCUCUUUUAUUCUGCAUACUAGUGCCUUGUUCAAUACGCCUUUAUAGUCAUCAUUAAUUGCUUGAAUUGCAAUUAAACAAUCACAUUCCAAAACAACAAGUUUCCACCCUUCAAACCAAAUCAGUUUAAGUCCACUAUAGAUUGCCCAAAGUUUUGCUUGUUCAAUACUACAUUUCUCAAUAUUGUGACCGUAGCCAAAUAUCCAUCUGCCAUGGCCGUCUCUAGCAAUCUCAACUGAGCAGGCAAGUCCGGUAUGAGGUUUCCUUGCACCAUUUGUGUUCAUUUUGACACAACUAACUAUUAGUGAGUGCCAGGUGCUUGGUCUGAUUCGGUUUUUAACCUUAAUCUUUGGUUCCCUAUUAUGUUUAACAUUCACAACCCCACUCCUACAACCAUACCAGAAUUACGAGGAACAUUUUCAAAAACAAAAGAAUUCCCUUGUUUCCAUACAAACCGACAUAGGAUACCGAAUAGGGUGUUCCAAUUAACAUCUUUGAAUUGUAAAUUCGGUUCAUUAGAAAGAUUGACAUUCACUCAAGAUAAAAGUGACGGAGAUAAGAACCUGGAGUAGAAUGAAUUCAGAAUGAACUGCUUCCAUACUUCUUGAGCUUAGAAUAUUUUCUUCUGCAGAUCCAAAAUGCAGCAACUAGUGUCAUCCGUCAGUCUGCGUCUGCAUCUUUCCACGUUUGAGAGGAGUCGCUCUUAUAAAAUUAGCCAUAAAAACUGUCGAACACAUUGCGAACCACCAUAGGACCAAGAAAGUUCCCAUUUAUUGUCCGAACUAUUCCAGGAAUCAUGAGAUAAGAAAGUAUAGGCUAUUUUAACAGUUAAGUCUCCAUUCAUAGACCAUUUAGAUACUAAUGAAUUCGAUCCAGCAAGUGCACGAGGGGGUAGAACACCAGCUUUUUUGUCAAAAAAAGGUUCGUCCAAAUGAUUUCUAAUAUACCUCCAAUUCCAUUCACCGUCAUUUCUAACCAAAUCUUAGAGGAUGGGAUUAUCAUCUCGAGCCAUAUUAUUCGGAUCAUGAAGUAUCAAAGGACCUACCUCAGGAAUCCAAUCAUCAACCCAAAAUUUGACUGAAUUCCCAUCUCCUAUGGACCAACAGAGGCUAUCUCGUAAGAGAGGUCAAACUUUUGCAAUGGACUUCCAUACAAAAGAGCUUAUGUUGCACGUAAUUACCAAUGGACAUACCUCCUGAAAUUUGUAUUUAUCUCUGAUCACUUGAACCCAUAAAGCAUUCUUGUUAGUACUGAAAUUAAAGCCCAACUUUAAGAGGAAAGACUCAUUUUACUGCCUUAAAUGUCGAAGACCCAGUCCUCCAUUAGCCCGAGGUUGGUAAUAGUUAUCCCAUUGCACUAAUGUUGGUUUAGAUCUUAAGGAAGAACUCCCCCAAAUAAAACUCAUUGCAAUACUAGGUAUCAAAGUUGUUUUGUAACAACCCAUUUUCAAUGGAACAAAAAAUGAUAGUUUUAAAAUUCCAUUUUCUGAGGACUAAGUCAGCAAAUAUUAUUUAAUAAUAUUUAUGAAUGGUUUAUAUUAUUAUAAUGGUUAUUAGUUCGGAAAUUUUAUUGAUUGAUUAGUAAUUAAGGUAUAGAGACUAAAUGUAAAAACUGUAAAAGUUGAAUUUAAGUGGAUUGUUUAAUUAGUUGAGUAUGAUUUAAUUAUUGGAGGAUUUGUUUGACAAUAAGCCAAUUUUGGACAUAAUGGCUUGCCAUGGAAUUAGUUUAGUUGAAAUUUUAUAUUGAUUUUUAGUUAAAAAAACAUAAAAAUUAGAAGGUUUAAAAUAAUAAAACAUGGAAAGUGCCAUCAUCUUCCUCAUUUUUCUUAUUCUCCUACGAAAACAACAUUUUUGGAGCUAGGAGAGUUCAGCCGUUUCACAACUUUCCAUGUAGGUAUAUUUGAGCUUGAUUUUUUGUAAAUUUUAUAUUUUUGUAAUCGUUGUAACUUAAAUCUAGCUAUUGUACCUCCGUUUUUAAAUAUGUUAAAGAUUUUAAAUGUCACCGUUAGAGAUAAUUGAAGCUUUUGGUUGUUAAAAUGAUGCUUUAAAAACUUAGGAAUGGAAAAAGGAUUAAAUUGUGAAACUAAUUGUUAGUUUUGAGUUUAGGGACUAAAUUAUGAAUAAUUUGAAAUUGUAAUAUUUUUUUGUAAAUUGUGAUAAUAGGAGGCUGUAUAGGGACAUAUUUGAAGUGGGUUUAAAUUUUGGAGUUCAAAUUCGGAAGAUAUGAUAAGUUUGGUUUUAGGGACUAAAUUGAUUAAAAUGCAAAACUUUAGGGGCAUUCGAAUAAUAAAAUUGAGCUGAUAUAUGUUUAUAAUAGGGUGAAAUAAGAGGAUUGAAAUUGAUAAAUUGAAUUGAAAAAUUGUAUAGCUAAAAAAUUAAACCAAAUCAGAAGUAAUCGUGGAAAAAAAGGUAAAAUUAUUGAUUAGUCCUUAGAGACUUGACCGUUUUCUAUUUGUCCAGUUAAAUUCAUAUGGUAGGAUUAUACUUAAUUUUCUAUAUAUUUGAAUUAUGAUUUUGAGUAUCUUGAUAGUAAAUUAAAUUGUUUGCAAUUUGGUGCAAAGAGGUGAGGUAUGAACUAAAUAGUAAGGAAUUGAACAAUUAAUUGGAAAUUGAAAUAAUUAAGGAAAUAACCUUAAAUUGGACUGAAAUAGGAUAUAUUAUGUGAUAAAGUGAUUAUUUGAGGAAAUGAGCUAAAUUGAUUCGAUUUAGAUCGGUUGAAAGUGAUAAUGACCGAAUUGAAUAUAUGUGAAAAUAUUAUAUAAUUUUAUAAAUGUGAAAUUGAAUCAGUAUUGUUAUAUGUUAUGCUAUCAUAUUUGAGAAUUGAUGAUCGGUUAAUGAAAUUAUGUAAUGAAAUUGAGAAAUUGUUAUUCUUAUUAAUUGUUUGGGUAGAGUCAGAUAUAGUUGGAGUGUCGAUGAGGCACUGGGUGCCAAAUUACUUCAGUUAUACCGAGUCAAACACAUUGAUGAGCACUGGGCGCAAACUAUAUAUUUACUUUGACAUUGUCUGAUAAUGCACUAGGUGUCAAAUUGGUAUGAUAGGUGGGAUUCAUAUAUCCAUUCAAGUCUGAGUCAGAUUAAUAGGGGUAUAAAAUGAAAUUUUGAUAAAUGAUAUUUAAAUUGGGUUGAUAUAAUGAUUUGAUGAUUUGUAUACAUAAUGCGAUCUAUAAAUAUCGAUGGUAUGUGAAAAAUUAUACGAAACAGUUAUAUAAACCUAGAGGGCCGAUAUAGAAAUGUAAUAAAUCAAAGAAUUCGGUUCGAAAUUCAAAUAAGGAAAUGAAAUGGUAAUUGACAUUAGAUUGAAAUUGAAUGUAUAAUAGUUAAAUAGAUGGAAUGAUCUGAUAUUAUGAGAAUGAUGUUCAUAUGGUUAAAUGUUGAUUUGGUUUUUAGUAUGGUAUUGAAAUGUGAUUCUAAGUGAUUUGGUUUAUUUCAUAUUGAAAUGUUAUAUGAUGAGGUUAAAUGUUAACUCACCUUUUUUAUUUUUGAUUUGUCAUGUUACUAAGCAUUGUAUAUGUUUACCUCAUUUGUUUUCCCUUUCCUUGUAGAUUGUCAAUUUGUAGAACACAUCAAGCGAAUCAUCCAAAGCUCACAUUAUCCUGGUAUGUGUUCGGUAGUCUUUAGACCGCAUUAAGGCCCGAUUAUGUAAGGCAUGUACUUAGGACUUGUUUUGGUUUACUUGCAAAGUGAUAUGGCUUGAAAUCUAUGUUGAUAGAAUUAUGACAAAGAUAAUGCUUAAUGGAAAACAUAUGCAUUAGUAAAUGGAUUGAAUUGUGCAUUUGACAUUUGAAAUGGCAUUUGGGUAUGCGAUUACAUAGGUAAUAUAAUGUUAUGAAAUGGUUAAAAGGCUUGGCUGAUUAGGUUGAGUUUAUAUAAGCUAAUUUGAUAUGUUAUGAUGCCAAAUUGUGGAAAUAUUGAAUUAGUUUAUUUGGAAUGGUGAUAUAUGAUGUUUUGACAAUGGUAUGAAUUAUGUGUUUAUAAUAUGUUGUGAUGUUUUUAGUGGUUAAUGAGUAAGAGAUAACAUAAUAGGUUGAUAAAGAGUAUUGAAUGAUUUUGAUACCUUGUGUGAAAAUCAUGAUGGCAGUUACAUGAUGAUGAAUAAAUAGGUCUAGUAGGUGACUUAAUUUGAAGGAUGAGUAGUAAUGGAUUGUUAUAGUUGCAUGAUAAUUGAAUUUGCACUAGUAAAAUGGAAUAAGCCUAGAUAUUGUCUAGUUGAUUUGGUUAGUAUAUGUUUUAAUGUUAGAAUAGGGAAUGAGUUGGAUGUAAUGGACCAUCAUUCACUUUUGGUUGAUGUUACGUCUAUGAUGUAGUACCCUUGAUGUUUGUGGUUAAAUUAGUAUAUUUAAAUUUAAUUUUUUAUGUUAUAUGACAGAUUUUGGAGUGCUUAUUGAUACUACUUGUAUUGGUUAAGUUCAAGCAUAGGCAUUUUUAAAAGUGGUAUUUGACAAUUCUGUGCAAAAGUACCGAUACUCUGGUAUUAAUUAUCGAUACUUGAUCAUAUGAACAAUUUUCUUAAAACAAAUAGUUUUAUGAUACCAAAUAAAGUAUCGACACCAAGCAAUCAAGUAUGGAUACUAACUCUAAUAUUUUGAAAAUUUACAAUUCAACCCUAUUCAUGCUCAAACUUCACAAUUAAACCAUUGUAUGUUCUAAUUAUGGGAAUUGGAACGCAUUCGUAUUUGUAAUUGUAUGUUUUGAAUUUUUAUACGAAUUAUUUAUCGACAGUUGCCCUAUCAAUGAAUGUGACAUCACGUUUUUCGGGUUUGACAUAAUAGGGUGUUACAUGUUUGCAUAAAAUAAUUGGGGAUUGACAUAAGAAUAGAUUGUACCAAAGUAACACGACCCGCCAUCGAAAUAAGUUUAGCAUCCCAACUAUCAAGUAAUCUAUAGACCCUAUCAAGGACAAACUUAAAGGUACUAAUAGUGACACACUGUGAAAGGCGAUAUUAGCAGGAGUAUCCUUUGAAAAGAAAAACAUUGGUCUUUUGGGCAUUAACUUUGUGAUCCGAGAAAAGUCAAAAAGUUCUAAAUUAUUUUAACAACUUUUACUUGUUCUAUAUCAGCUUCAAUAAACAGGAACAAACCAUCCGCCUCUAGGGCAUGCUUGCAAUAAAAAAUUAGUUUCCAAACCCUCUCUCCAACCAAUUUAUGAAUAUAUUGUCCCAAUCUUUCCAUACAUAGAAUAAAUAAAUAUGGAGAUAAAUGGCACCCCUACCUAAUACCUCUCAAAGGUUGGAACUCAUCCGAUAAAACACCAUUCCACAGAGUUUGCAUACAAUCUGAAGAAAUGCAUUCCAUAAUAACUUGAGAUAUUCCAUGAGGAAUGAAACGUAGUUGGUGCUAGACCAAGAGUGUUAAAAUGCAUGACGAGAGAAUCCCGCAAUUUAAAAAGGUUUCAAGAGAUGGGCGGGCAUUGGGCUCCACCUCUUGGAUCAAACUCAAUAUAGAUGGUGGCAUGGUGCUUUAAAGACAUGGGUUGGUCUUGCUUCAGUAGGAGGUGUUGUAUGUAAUUGUAGAGGCGAAUGGAUGCUAGGAUAUUUGCAUAAGCCUUGGGUAGUGUAAUGUCCUUGAUGUGGAGCUUUGAUGUCUUUUUGAUGGCUUACAGUUAAUGUGAGAAAGGGGUUCGAAAAUGUACUAGUUGAAUGUGGUAGCUUGGAAGCGAUCUCGGUUAUAUUGAGCAGUAAGUCUAAAUCUUGUGGAUCGACUCUAGUGUGGCAAAUACGCAAAUUGGUGGAACAACAUUGGGUGGUACCACUAGAAAACUUGUGGUGCAAGAAACAAAAUAAAGUAAAAUAAGAGAUUUGAGAUGUGAAUUACUUUAAAGAAAGUUUAAUUUUACCUCUAGAAUACAACAAUUUAGGAGUAACAUAAUUUGAGUUUUUAUGUAGGCACAGGAUGAUUCAAAGAUAUAUUUUUGUCAAGGGUAAAUUAUCCAGAUGGUCAUCCAACUUUUCAAAUGCUUUCAUUUUAGUUACCUCCAUUACGACAAUCUUCCAUUUUGCGUCUGACAACACGUAAGAAAACAUAAACACAAUAUUAUUCAAAGCUCCAUUUUAUUCAUUUUUUUCAAUAUUCAUCACAUGUUUCUUUCAAAAAUAAUAAAAUAAUAAAAUAUUCGUUGACAUGUUGAUUUUUCAUACAUGUAGCUUACUGCAGCAUGUAAGAAAACAAAGAAACAAUGGAAGCCCCAACCAAUGAUCCAAGAACAGGCAAGGUAGCGGCAGCCACGCUGGAAUCCGGUCCUGAUGCUGGAGCGGAACCAGGAGAGGAGCUAGGACUAGAACCACCGGCUGAAGGGGCAGGAGAUGGUGCACCGGCAGCCAUGACGACGCUCAUUGAGGCGGCAGCAACAAUGAUGGCGGU
rnacentral:lncRNA from 1 species